GUUCUAAUAAUUUAACGAAAAUAUUGGUCUUUUAAACCAAAAAUAAGGAAACCCUUUUAAAACU
rnacentral:tRNA from 1 species